rnacentral:rRNA from 1 species
AGUGAACGCUGGCGGUAGGCCUAACACAUGCAAGUCGAACGGCAGCACAGUAAGAGCUUGCUCUUACGGGUGGCGAGUGGCGGACGGGUGAGGAAUACAUCGGAAUCUACUUUUUCGUGGGGGAUAACGUAGGGAAACUUACGCUAAUACCGCAUACGACCUACGGGUGAAAGCAGGGGGUCUUCGGACCUUGCGCGAUUGAAUGAGCCGAUGUCGGAUUAGCUAGUUGGCGGGGUAAAGGCCCACCAAGGCGACGAUCCGUAGCUGGUCUGAGAGGAUGAUCCGCCACACUGGAACUGAGACACGGUCCAGACUCCUACGGGAGGCAGCAGUGGGGAAUAUUGGACAAUGGGCGCAAUCCUGAUCCAGCCAUACCGCGUGGGUGAAGAAGGCCUUCGGGUUGUAAAGCCCUUUUGUUGGGGAAGAAAAGCAGCAGGUUAAUACCCCGCUGUUCUGACGGUACCCAAAGAAUAAGCACCGGCUAACUUCGUG